UUGACAGAUGAUCAAUCACAGCGGACCCAGAGGCAGCAUGACACAGCAAGACCUAGAGACUCUGGAUUCAAACUAAAGCCUACAAAAAGGAUGGAUGAGAUGGAAGACUUUGAAGUGUAGCAUUCUGCUGCCAACAUGAAAGGGCAUCGCUGCAUGCCCAACAGAGACCCAGCUCUUCCUUGUGCCCGGCUCUCCUGGCCAGUUAGCUGCCACAAGCUACAAACCCAAUCCACGAACUCAAGCUACAUUCAGGACUGGUAACUAUACAGCAGCUGCAGAACCUGUGUGUGUGUAUGAACGAACGUGUGAAUGAAUGUGAAACUGAAUGAAAUGUUAUAGCUACAACUGACUGCCUACUACAAUUCUUUUUGUAUUCACAAUAAAUGUGACAUCUUGUCUUAUCCCCUUUAAUAAGAUCCUGCUGGUUUUUAUUUUAUUGGUAUAACAGACAAAGCACAUGAGAAUCUUGAAUAAUACUCUUUCUUUUGUUUAAAAUACUUUCC